rnacentral:rRNA from 1 species
UACGUAGGGUGCAAGCGUUGUCCGGAAUUAUUGGGCGUAAAGAGCUCGUAGGCGGUUUGUUGCGUCGGCUGUGAAAUCCCGAGGCUCAACCUCGGGUCUGCAGUCGAUACGAGCAAACUAGAGUGUUGCAGGGGAGACUGGAAUUCCUGGUGUAGCGGUGAAAUGCGCAGAUAUCAGGAGGAACACCGGUGGCAAAGGCGGGUCUCUGGGCAACAACUGACGCUGAGGAGCGAAAGCGUGGGGAGCGAACAGG